UGGCGGCAGGCUUAACACAUGCAAGUCGAGCGGUAACAGAAAGAAAGCUUGCUUUCUUUGCUGACGAGCGGCGGACGGGUGAGUAAUGCCUGGGAAUAUGCCUUAGUGUGGGGGAUAACUAUUGGAAACGAUAGCUAAUACCGCAUAAUGUCUUCGGACCAAAGAGGGGGACCUUCGGGCCUCUCGCGCUAAGAUUAGCCCAGGUGGGAUUAGCUAGUUGGUGAGGUAAAGGCUCACCAAGGCAACGAUCCCUAGCUGGUCUGAGAGGAUGAUCAGCCACACUGGAACUGAGACACGGUCCAGACUCCUACGGGAGGCAGCAGUGGGGAAUAUUGCACAAUGGGGGGAACCCUGAUGCAGCCAUGCCGCGUGUAUGAAGAAGGCCUUCGGGUUGUAAAGUACUUUCAGUCGUGAGGAAGGCAUUGUAGUUAAUAGCUGCAGUGCUUGACGUUAGCGACAGAAGAAGCACCGGCUAACUCCGUG
rnacentral:rRNA from 1 species